UUUCUCCUUCCCAAAUUACAAUUACAAUUUGCAAACGCAGAGUACCGAGAGACGAGAGAGUCGGUCGUCUCCUUCGGAACUCCUCGACGACGGCACCCCACUUCCAGUACCCCAACGACGGCAGUCUCCAGACUCCACUCCAAGUCAUCGGUUAGCAUAGCCAUUAGCCAGUCAGGAUGGCAGAAUUUCUACAUGCUUAUUUUAGGUGCGAGGAAGUAAUGAUAUGGGUUAAAUUCCCUAUGACAGUUAGGUCUUUCAACCCCGAUGCCAAGUUUGUGUACUUUGAUCCAUCCAACCCUCUUCCAACAUCUAUUGGAUUCUUUAGCCACAAACACAUUGUAUAUAUGGUUGGUGGCCAGAAUGGAGAUAAUAUUCCAUUUGAAUAUAGCCAUCUGAACAUGAUGUUUGAUCCCACCAAGUAUCCCUUUAAAAAAAUUGAACCACUCCACUCCUCAAAUUUUGAACCUAUGGUUCCCAAACGAUCGUGACAACAUUUCUCUUAUCAGUAUAUGGUUUCAUGUUGUUCUUAAUGGUUAUAUAUAUCUGGUUAUUGGAGAAUAUUUUCAUACAUUUAAGUUCAACACCACAACAUCAAAAUGGCAGGAUUGCAGGUCCAUGGUGGACAUAUUUAAUCCACUGCAUAUCUUGUUCGCCUUAUUGACAAUGGUGAUAUUGACCCUGGUGAUUUUGACCGUGGUGAUUUUGAACCUAUAUCUUACAGGGUUCUUACUGAAUGUAAAACUGAUAUUGAUAUUGAUGACCAUUACUCAAGGUUUGAUCUGAAACAGUUAGCUGAUAUGGGAGGGGGCUGGUUUUGUGUGAUGCGCAGUACUUUAAGUAAAGAGUUUUUGAUAUACGUCUUCAGAAUUCAUUUUGAACAUGAAUACAACAUUCAAACCUUUGGAAGUGAAGAUCGUUCGUCAGAAAUUAUUUUCUCAACGAAAUUCAAUCCAAAUGACACUCUCCUUGCCCCUCAUAAUGAGUUUAUAUAUUUCGGAUUCUGUGUAGCCUCUGCUCCUCCUCCUCCUCCCCUGGCAAUGAAGACCAAGACAAAGGAUGAAGACCAAGACAAAGGAUGAAGACCAAGACAGGGAUGAUAGGAAGAUGCAAUUCUUCAAUGGUUGAAAUGCCUAAGGUGUGGAAAACAGUAUCGUCCCAUAGAUUCCUUAUGGAGUUCAUAGCUAAUGAAGGCAAUGGAGAGGUACCUCUUGAGGGAUCAAUACCAGAUAUGACCUCCUCCACAAAGCUAUAUGUAAACCUACAAAAUAUCUACCAAGCAAAAGCUGAGGCUGAUUUUCUUGCUAUGGAGCAACGUGUGAGGGAUAUACUAAAAAGAAUUGGUAGAGAUCCAGGUAGCAUCUCAAAGUCAAGCAUAAAGAGCUUAUAAUACCUUUAGUAAAAAUGCAAGAAAGCUCGCAUAUUGCUGUGGGUUUCUAUAUUUUCCUUGAUCAUGCUGAUAUCGAGAAAUUAUUGAUGAAGCAGCAGAGCAGAAUCUCCGGGAUUAGCUUCAAGCUCUUUUGAGAAAAGUUGCAAACAAGUUAGUUGUAUUUGCACGGUGGGUAGCCUCAAUAACAAAAUUGAACUUGUCAUUGAGAUGUGAUGAAUUUUCUGUGCACAAAUAUGUAAAACAAUUUUGAUACUUUAAAUAGUAGGACAUGUGACUAUGUGAGUAAA